GACGAACGCUGGCGGCGUGCUUAACACAUGCAAGUCGAACGGAAAGGCCCUGCUUUUGUGGGGUGCUCGAGUGGCGAACGGGUGAGUAACACGUGAGUAACCUGCCCUUGACUUUGGGAUAACUUCAGGAAACUGGGGCUAAUACCGGAUAGGAGCUCCUGCUGCAUGGUGGGGGUUGGAAAGUUUCGGCGGUUGGGGAUGGACUCGCGGCUUAUCAGCUUGUUGGUGGGGUAGUGGCUUACCAAGGCUUUGACGGGUAGGCGGCCUGAGAGGGUGACCGGCCACAUUGGGACUGAGAUACGGCCCAGACGCCUACGGGAGGCAGUAGGGGGGAAUAUUGCACAAUGGGCGGAAGCCUGAUGCAGCAACGCCGCGUGCGGGAUGACGGCCUUCGGGUUGUAAACCGCUUGCGCCUGUGACGAAGCGUGAGUGACGGUAAUGGGUAAAGAAGCACCGGCUAACUACGUG
rnacentral:rRNA from 1 species